CGGACGUGGAUAACCUGCCUCACACUGGGGGAUAACAGUUGGAAACGACUGCUAAUACCGCAUGACGCAUUUUGAUCGCAUGGUCGAAAUGCCGAAGAUUUAUCGCUGAAAGAUGGCCUCGCGUCUGAUUAGCUAGUUGGUGAGGUAACGGCCCACCAAGGCGACGAUCGGUAGCCGGACUGAGAGGUUGAACGGCCACAUUGGGACUGAGACACGGCCCAG
rnacentral:rRNA from 1 species